UAGUGGAAAGCCUGCAUCACUUGUACUUGCUUCUAAAUGGGCCAACGAUGAUUCUGAUCUGAACAACUUUAUUAUGAUGAGAUCUAAAUAUACAGUCACCCAAAGAGAGGAAAAGUAUUAUGUAGAUAGACCUGAAAAAGUGGUACAGCCUGAAGAACAGCAUAUGAGUGUUCACAAAGAGGAUGACUCUUUUUGUGAGACUGUAAAAGCAGA